CUCUAAAUAAAGGAAAGCAUUUGGCUAGUGCCGAGCAGAGUUCUGGGACUUUAACUCUUUAAGUAGAGGAACAAACGUGGAGACGAAUCCACGCCCUUACGCACAUAAUCUUGCGUAAGCACGCACACUAGGUCCAUUUACGUGCCUAAACAUUCGCAGCCAAUUAGAACUACAGGCACCAUUCAUGCAUCAGGAAUAGGAAGAUGCGGACUUACGUAAUUGAGCUGUAAGCCACACUGGAUGCUAGGAGACUUUGUGAUUGAACAGCAGGAGCCUGAUCUGUUCCCUGACAUGAAAGUACAAGGUUAGUUUUUGCUGCAGUAUCCACUAGGCCUUGGAAGAAUCACCUUACUGGGUUACAGACAGAUGGGAUCAUAUAGUACCACCCUGAGUCCUACAUUUAAUACUGUUUUUGACAUUUCAUGUGGAUGAGAAGAAGAGGUGCCACAGUAACCCUCGACAUGGAUGGGCUACUUAAACUCUAUUGGGUAGGUUUUAUUUUUAUCUCAUACUAUGUGUGGAUAGGAAGUGGCUCCCCAGUGAACCUUCAAGAUGUGGCAGGCUACUUUCACUUCACUGGAGAGCUGUGGUGCCUGGAACAUGCUGGGGAAGCAUAAUUUAGACCUUCUGAGUUUCUUUAAUUUGGCUUGUAGUGAUUUGAAUGAGAAAUGCUCUCUAUAGGCACAUAUCAGUGGUGCUAUUUGGGAAGGCUAUAGAACCUUUUGGACAUCAAGCCUUGCUGGAGAAAGCAAGUAACUUGGAGUGAAAUUUAAUGGUUUAUAGCCUCAUCAUACUUCUGGUUCAUUCUCUCUGCUUCCUGUGUGGAGAUGAAAUGUGAUCAGUCAUCUUCUUGCUCCUGCCACUGUGCCAUGCCUUCUCAGCUGUGAGUAGUCUAUUCUUCUGGAACUAUGUGCUAAAAUAAAGUCUUUCUUCGUUUAGUUUCUAUUGGCCAUGGUAUUUUAUCACAGCAACAUGAAAGUAACUAACACAUGGUUCUAAACUGUUGUAUCCGAUUUAAGUUCAAGGGAUUCAUUACCUUGCUUCUAAGGCUCCAAUCUCUUCAGCUACCCUUCAUUUUCUUCUUCCUCUCCUAAUAUUUCAAUCAUGAAAAUAACAUAUGACCCAUGUGUCAUGCUGGAGGGAGGGCUUCAAAUGGCAUGUGACCUUGUGAUCCUGCUCAUUUGUUUUUAUGACUCAGGGGUUGUUGGGCAGGCUCGAGAGGACAAGAUUCUAGAUAAGAAUUGUCCUAUUGUGCUUUCUCCAGAACACUCAUUCUUCCACAUGUAUGCUUGCAAGCUUGCUCUGGCAACUCUGGAAAUAAGGAAAGGUAGAACACACACAGGGCACUUGAAUGGGGCCAUUUCAAAGAAGCAAGAGUGUUUUGGGUUUACUCAUAAUACUCCUGCUCCUUUUUGUGUAUUCUUCAUUCAAUUGGGUUGAUGCUAUCUGAUUAUUUUUUCUAUUAUUUUCUCCUGUAUUAUUAACCUAUAUUUUAAAAGGAUCUUAACAAAUUUAACCUGACAUUCUCAUUAGGUCUGAAGCCUAAUAUGGAGUAUUUUGACAAGAAGUCUUUCCUCACUAAAAGCCAACAAAACAAAUUCACAGGAAAUAGACCAUCUUGUGGUGAUAAUUUAUUUGUGCUAAAAUGUGGUGAUAUUUGUAGAUGUAACUGUCUUUUUAAAUAAGAAACACAGAGCCAACUGCAGAGUUAAAAAGCCCAAGAGGUUAGAGCAAUAGCUAAGAGCUAAAAACCUUACCCUUCACUGCCACUGCUGUCCUCCUCAGCCACAGAACUACUUCCUGUGUCUCUGCCUUCUUAUAGACUUUCUGUUCUGCCUUCUCAUUGGUUCUAAACCCAACCACAUGACCUCCUCAUCACUGCCCAUCUAUACAAACCUCCAGGGCUUCUAUGGCUGGUAUUGAGAUUAAAGGCAUGUGUCUCCAUGCUGGUGGUAUCCUUGAACACACAGAGAUCUGCCUGUCAUGUGAUCAGGAUUAAGGGCGUGUGCUACCAUUACCAGGCUUCUGCUAUGGAUUGCUAUUAGCUCUGAUCCCCAGGCAAUUUUAUUUAUUAACAUACAAAUAAAAUCACAUUUCAGUACAAAUAAAAUAUCACCAUGUUUCCCCUUUUCUAUUUUAAUAAAAAGAAAAAAGGAAAAAGGUUAUAACAUAAGAAAAACUACAUACAAAAGUACAAUAACUAUAUACCAUAUAUACAAGUAAUAAAUACCCAAACAAUGUCUAGUCCAUUUGCAUUUGACAAAUUCAGAGAAAAUAAUUCCAUUAUCCAUCCUAUUUUGGUAAGUCCAAAAUGUACCUGAUUCACUUUAUCCUAACUUAUAUUACUAACAGAACUGUCUUAUAACGUCUUUCAAAUUUAUACACUUACACCUCUUAGUGAGUUUCUUUUCUGAAAUUCUUAACAAGGAAAACUAUAAUUAUAACUAACUAAUCUUCAACUAUAACUAACUAAUCUUCAACUCCUUCAGAGACCCAAGAAGAAAAUAAUAUUACCAAAUAAAAAAUAAAAACAGGAAGUGCAUGCAAGCAACUUCCAAAAAAAAUGUGAGUUGACUGAAACAGCCAGCUGCCUGGACAGUCACCCAAGAUAUCACCAUAGAUAUUUUAUUUGUGCUUUAAUAAAUAAAGUUUGCCUGGAGAUCAGAGGAAAUAACAAGCCAUUUUAAGUAAACAAAGAAGUUAGGCAGUGGUAGCACAUGCCCUUAAUUCCAUCACUUAGCAGGCAGGAUCUGUGUGCUCAAGGCCACACUAGGGAACAGAGUCAAGCAUGGUGACACACGCCCAGUACCAACCAUAGAGACCUGGAAGUCUGUACAGAUAGACAGAAAGUGAUAGAGCUGUGUAGGAAGAGGAAGUGAGGUAGCUGGGCUAAGAGAGCCAAUGAGAGGGCAGAAAAGCAAAACAUAUAAGGCGUGGGUAUACAGGGAAUUAGCUCACAUUUGGAAGCUGCUGAGUUGGUGAGGUAAGACUAGCUGUGGCUUUCCCUAUUUUCCUGAUAUUUCUCUCAGGCUUUCACCCCUAUAUUUGGCUCCAUGUUUUUUUAUUUAAUAAGACCAUUUAGAAAUUCAUCUACAUCAUCUCACUUUGAAUUUAUUGACAUCAUUUGUUCAGAAUUGUAAGUAUAGGAGGUCCUACUAAGGCCAUCUAUCAGAUUAACUUCCUUGAGAUACCAGGUAUAAACCUCACAUAGGACAAGGCAUAUGUGGUAGUAUGGUGUUCCCCAAAAUAUUGUGCACCCUAAUAAACUUAUCGGGGGUCAGAGAACAGAACAGCUACUAGGUACAGAGGCUAGAAAAUGGUGGCACUCACGCCUUUAAUCCUAGCAUUCCAGAGGCAGAAAUCCCUCUGGAUCUCUGUGAGUUCAAGGCCACAUUGGAAACAGCCAGGCGUGGUGACUCACACCUUUAAUCCCAGAAAGUGAGCCUUUAAUCUCAGGGAGUGAUGGCAGAAAGCAGAAAGUAUAUAAGGCGUGAAGACCAGAAACUAGAAGCAUUUAGCUGGUUAAAUGCUUUUAGGCUUUGAGCAGCACAGUUCAGCAGAGAUUCAUUCUAGAUGAGGACUCAGAGGCUUCCAGUCUGAGGAAACAGGACCUGGUGAGGUGAGGUAGCUGUGGCUUGUUCUGUCUCUCUGAUCUUCCAGCAUUCACCCCAAUACCUUGCUCCAGGUUUGUUUUUAUUAAUAAGAACUUUUAAGAUUCGUGCUACAGGCAUACAAUACCUCUGUUGAAUUAUUCCCAUUUUCUUGAUAUUUCAUGAUCCAGCGCACAGAUGUAGGUCACUUGGAAUGCACUUUGGGUCCAUUCAAGUAUCUCCAUGUUUUGAUGCUGCAGCAUUCUCUCUCCUGGGGACCUGAAUACCUCUCUAUACAUCAGCUAUAGGUCUAAAUACUGGGUUAGGGGCUGAAACAAAGCAGGAUGGUCGUUAGUUUGUUGGGAUAGCAGCUCUCCUGCAUCCUUUCUCUCUCUCAGUGACGAUUCUGGAGAUGAGUGUCAGCCUUGUGUUCUGUGUACCCAUAAGGAGGCCACAUUGAUAUUUCAUCUGUCAGCUGUAUCUACAGCUAACCUAUGGUUCUGGCUGUUCAGUGUUGCAUCUGACCUUUUCUUUUGCUUCUGUUGCUGUGUAGAAUAGGAGUGGGAGGAGGAGGGGAUUUCAUCCAGAACAGGCCUUGCUUACAUUGAGAGGUUGUCUAACAGGAUCUCAUAUGAUCUAGAUCUAAGGAGGAUUUUCUUGCCCUCUCUCCUGAUACCUGUGUUGCAGCAUGUCCUCUGAGCACACUUUAGGAACCUAAGACCCUGGGCUUUUCAAGCCUCAUCUGUUUGGUUUACAGGACUGUACUUCCCUCAGCCUAGAUAAUUUCUUUUCCACUGUGGUUAUGAAGGCCUUUCCAGCCUAAUCAGUGUGGACCAUUGUUUAUUGCUACCAGACUCAUGUACCCUGAGACACAUGCCAGAGAAUGAAGACUUAUUUUUCAGUUGGUACCCCUCAGGCCCCUUAUGUCAUCUUAUUCUGCAAAGCCCCUGCUUAGCACCCUUUAUUCCCAUCCCGUGUUGAUAUCUUGCCCAUAUUGAUGCAGGAACAUGAUUAUACAAGUGUCACCUCUUUCCUCCCUUGCUAUGUGCAGCUCUUUUCAUAUUGUACUAGACCUGCUUUCUGAGUAUGGCUUGGCAGCAGCUUCUCUGACACUUCCUGAUUUACCCAAAACAAUCCUGGCUUUAGCAUUGCAAUUCUAGUACUCUACUUAGUGGGGCAAACACCCACUAAAAGACAGGUAGGGUCAUCUCAUGUGAGGGAGGGCCUCGAUGGGGAGAAUAAUUAUGCAAUAUUUCUCUCCAUUAAGUGGGUUGGAUAUACUAUGUCUUAUAGGAAAGGAAGAGGGUUAAUCAUACUCAAAAGUUUCAGCAAUCCAAAUCAGAUGAAAUUAGGAAAAGGCCUGGUUUAAUGGGUAAAGCAUUCCCGGGUGAUUCCCUGGGCCCACAGAGAGCAGACUGGGACAAGAGACCUGAAGAACCACAUAUCUGGUUUCUGGGAUGCAGCUUAUAUACCCUGUAUGAGUGGUCUUGAGUCUCUCUGGGGGAGGAGCCAUGUUUGGCUGGCUUUCAAGGGGCAGGUUUAGGGAAAGAGAUCGUGGUGGGGGGGGAGUUGAGGUGGAUCUUCCACCAGAACAUUCCAGACUCUUUGGGUAUAGGGAUGCCAGGGUGCCAGACGUUGAGAUGGAGCUCCCACCCAAACACAAGGCCCAAACCGAGAUGGCUUCUAGAGAGACUGAGAGAGGACCAAGGAUGGAACAGACGCAUGUGCGAAGCAAGGUGGUGGCAGAGGGGGCCAGAAAAUCGGAUGGGCUUCAAUUCCUGCAGAAGUGUGGCCCAAACUGAAGUCUGUCCUUGGGUUUCACAGUGAUCGUUGGGUACAGGUGAACAGUCACUUGUUUUCCUGAUGAGAUUUUGAUGCUGAGCUCAUUUGGCUAGUCGGCCUCUGACAGAACUUUGUGUAGCUCUGAUGCACCCUGAGCAUGACAGGAGAGCCACGGAGACAAUAAGCUACAGCCCCAUGAGGGUGUGUAGCCAAGAUACUUCUACUCGAUUCACCUCCUGCUGCAUCCAGAACAUGCCAGAAUAGCUGCUGCUGUUGAUGCAAAGUCAGAAGGCAUGGUACGGGUUUGCCCAGGCAUCUACUGCAUGGCCUGAGCUGCCACUGUGUCCAGGGCAAGGCUGGAUUUAAUCAGAUAGUUCCCUCACCCACUGCCUCUAAACAGGAGAAGCGGUGGUGCUGGAUACAAGAUAAUAAGGAAGGGUGACUUUGAAUGUGUGCAAAUGAUGUUUGCAGAAAGCUAUAGGAGAAAGGCCCUCUUGUUGGAUUAACUAGCUAGUGUUUUUCCAUGGUCUUGAGCAGGACAUUUCCCCAUAGUGCCCUCUGCUGGCCAAGUCCUCCAACUUCACUGUGCAUCAAAGAUGGGGGUCGGCUAUCAGAGCAGGUGUGUUCAGGAGACCCAACCUGAGAUGGCUUCUAGAGAGACUGAGAGAGGACCAAGGAGACCCUGUGAGAGAGAGACAUUAGAUUUCCCUCUAAAGUCUUAUAUGUCUCUGAAGCUCUGCUGUGUUUUAUGGUGUGUGUGAGCAUACAAUCUGUUUUUGUAGGGUGAAUCCCUCAGUAUGGAAUUUCUAGGUUUAUUAGGUAUACAUUUGAUUUUUGAGAUACUGCCAAAGUUUGUUCAAAGUGCUUCUGGUUUUUACAGUAUAUUUUUCUCUGGUUCUUUACUCUGCUCAUCCAUUUCUGCUACUGACACCCUUGCUAAUGAGGUCAUUACACUUCAUCUAUGUGAUUUUUAAGUUUAAAAUUUCAGUUGGGUUCUUUGUACAUUCUAUUAAUUACUAAGACUUUGCACUUUUAGUUUUUCUUUCUACAAAAAGAUUUAUUUAUUUUUAUUUUAUCUGUAUGACUGUUUUGCCUGCAUAUAUGUAUAUUCAACACAUGCAUGCAGUGCCCACAGAGGCAAGAAGAGGGCGUCAGAUUUCUUGGAACUGAGAUACAGUCUGUUUUGAGCUCUUAGUGGGUGCUGGUAAUCAAACCUGAGUCCUGUGGAAGAACACUGAGUACUGUUAACUACUGCGCCAUCUCUCCUGCCCCAAGUUUUACUUUCUUUAAAAGUGAGUUUUUUAUUGCUUAGUGAAGCAUUUUUAUGAUGGUUCAUUUGACAGAUAAUGCUAAUAUGUAUCUUCAGUGUAGAUUCUGCUGUUUUUUGGAUGGUAUGUGAUUUUCUGUUGACUUCUGCACAUGUUCAUAUUGUUUGUCUCAGUCUAUUUAAACUGUGUUGUAGCUGGACGCCUGUGGCACCACCAUAUCAGAGGAUAGAGGAGGGUAUUACUACAUGAGUGAAUUUUGCAGCUACACCUUCAUCCAUCCCAUUUCCACGAAUCCCUGAAUCUCCAGGGAAACUUCAUGUGAUUUCUGGUCAAGAUUGGAAUUUGGGUUCUGAGCAGGACUUCAUCGUUGCCUUCGGCCUGGGAAGGUUAGUGAUGCCUCAUUAUUGCCCUCUCCCAUGUAGCCUGCUACAACAUCUUGGAGGAUUGUGCCUAUUACCACUUGAUCAAGUACCAGCUGUCUGCUAAGCCUUCUUGACACCAUACAGAUGGGUAGGGGGUGACCUGGUGUGAUGGUCUCAAAACAGGACUAGGAUCUGAUCGGAGUUGACACAGCUCUCCUCUGAAGAUAUCAAACCUAAAUGACCUUCUGUGAGCAGUUAUCAGAGCAGAGUUCAUGACAUUGUGGAUAUUUGAGGGUUCUUGUAAGCUGUGUUUGGAAAGGGUGUUAAGUGAGGCAGUUUCUAUUGAUCAGUCUAGCAGACUGGGUGAAGGACAGCCCUGUCUCUUUAUCUCUCCAGUAGAACAGGGCAGCAUUGAACCACAAACUUGAGGAGGAUUGUCAGUGGGCUCCUGGGGCUUUAGCAGAGGAUUCAUUUUAUUCCAUCUGGCAGGAAGCUAAGAAGUUGUUGUGGGAGCCCGUUUUUCGGGUUCCUCGUGGCUUUACCCAGCAGGUCCUCAUAGAGGAUGAUUAGGACCACAGGCUUGAGUGCAGGUGUCUGAGAUGGUCUGCACUUGGCUGUGCUGGGGGAGGAGGUCUUUUGCUCCACCCCUUGGCGUGUCCAUAAAUACCCUGGGGCAGAGACAGUCGGGGGCCGUUGGAAAAGGUUCCAGGCUGUCUCAAGGCUAUCCUUUAUUUUCUAUCUGUUUAUCUCCGCAAGAUUCUCCGCAAUAAAUCCUUCUAUCUAAUAUUUCCUGCUGUUCACACUCAAGAAAACUCUGGGGAGCUGUGGGGUUGGUGGGUAAACACCCCACAAAAUGAUGCCUGAACAGGGACUAAAGAAAAAAAAGGGGGGAGGAACUAAAGAAAAAAAGGGGUGAACCAAAAGAAAAAAAGGGACUAAAGACAAACGAACAAGGACUAAAUGUUAAUUGGUGGCACUGUGUCCUUACCCUGCAAGGAAAUGUCACAAAACACGACAGAAUCUGCUAAUAAGAGUUUUAUUAGAGAUAUAGGGACAGAGAGUGCACAGACCUAUGGGAAACACGUGUGUGGAGAAGAAGGAAGAACCGGGAACAUGGUGCCGGAUUUUAAAGGCUGGGUGUGCACAGAUCGACGUCACUACUUUAUGCAAGCGCAUAGAUCUCAUGGCCACGCUGCGCACCUACGUAGCCAUGGAAUGUCACUGAUCCUGGUCACGAGACACGCCUUCACCCGGAAAAGGCUAUCCUGACCUGGACCUGGCUAGGCAGAAGUGUCCACCGGGCUUAUGCAAACAAGCCCGACCGUGGGGGCGUGUUGUGAACCCUUCACUAAAGACAAAUAGGGACUAUAGAAAAAGGAAAAUAAUAGUUUUAUUACAGUUUUUUGGCGAAAGUGCCAAGUCAGCUCUGCCAGUGGAAAGGCAUGCUGGUGUUAUGGAAAAAAAAAAGAAAUUAUAUAUAUAUAUAUAUAUAUUAUUGAGGGGCAGGGUUUUUAAUCUCGAGAGAAAAGCAAAGCAGACUGGAAGGAUGUCCGAUGCUGCAGCGCAAAAUUCUCUUCUGUCAAAAUUUUCUAUCUUCUAGCCGGGCGGUGGUGGCGCACGCCUUUAAUCCCAGCACUCGGGAGGCAGAGCCAGGCGGAUCUCUGUGAGUUCAAGGCCAGCCUGGGCUACCAAGUGAGUUCCAGGAAAGGCGCAAAGCUACACAGAGAAAACCUGUCUCGAAAAACCAAAAAAAAAAAAAAAAUUUUCUAUCUUCUAUCCCUUUCUCAAUUUCUAUCUGUGAAAAAUAAGUAUAAGGUAUAGGGUAGUAAUAGAGUGUAGGAAAAACUUAGAAGUGUAAGAUCGUGUAGAAAAAAUUAAGUAAGGCAACUAGACAGAAAAACUCUUCAGUUUUCUAACUUUGGGGGCUAUGAAUGCAAACUGGGGGGAAAAUCUUUCUUUGGGCUUUAUGGGUAGUAAAAAAGCUCUUCUCUGAGCUUAUGGGGAAGAAAAAGUUUCCUAUGGAAGCUUUUGUCCUGGGGACAGCUGAAAUGCUAAGUCCAAGCAGCAGGAGGAAGUGUUUCUCCCUGAAGCUAAAAUGGGAGUGUAAAAAGUCAAAAAGUUUAAAGUUUAAACAUUUUGGGAAAAGUUGGUCUAUCUCUCUUGGAAAAAAAAAAAAAAAAACCUUUCUCUUAAACUAAAAGCUUUUCUUGGAAAAUUUGGGGAAAAAAAACUCUCUAAAAAGCCUUAAUCUUUCUCAAAAGCUAUCUUGAACUUAAAAACUAAAGCCUUUCAGAACUCUCUCUCAAAAGGACAAAAAUAAGAAUCACCUGAAGAUAUUAGUAUGGGGACCACCUGUGAUUAGUUCUAAGGGAAAACAACAAACCUCUUAAAACGGCAAAACCUCUCUAAGUUCUGUUACAAGCCUUGAAAAUCCUCCCUGCAAUGCAGGAGGCAGGGACAAGUUCCUAAAAACCUCUUCUAAGCUCUGUCUCUUCAAGCUAGUAAAAGACAGUGGGUCAGAGUACCCUGAGGGAAACGCUUGGGAAAGUGUGGGUAAAGAGCUACAGAGAGCCCAAAAGGUCAGGAAACUUUACCUGAGAAAAGAAAAAAAGCCAAGCUUAUCAAUUACAGCCGUGCUGAGGCAUCAAGGGUUUUGUUUCUGAGUGAGCGUUUCAGAAUGAAAAGGUGCUCCUAAUCGUCCUAAUGCAAAGAUCCCCUGAAGCAUUGUAUCCUCGCUUCUGACCAAAAACCCAGAGGCCACUGGCCAGCGUCUCUGAGUUGGAGUGCAUUUCGGUGAUACUAGGGUUCCUGCAGUUGUAAACUUCCUGGAGCACAGAGCUGAGGCAGGAAGGUGCAGGACCCAGGGGAAGAUGGCUAAUGAACAAACAAAGCUAAAGCCGGUAGGAACGGCACAGUUGUCCGUUCUCCUACAAGUCCCGGGUUGAUAGGUCCGCAGCUGCAAAAAGAAAUCUGAGAAAAGCUUUCCUAUCAGAGUAAGGACCUUUCUGGGAAAACAGUAAAGCUGAACUGUGUCUGAAGCAGUUGUGCUGCUGAGUCACAAUGCUGUCUGUGGAAAGAGCCCAGCCAGGGCAAAACAGAACUAUCCAGGAGUAAUGCUUUCUUUUCUGUCAGAGGAAGCAUCUCUUUGAGAAAAGCUUUGUUUUAACUGACUCCCUGAGACGAGGGAGUGUAACCCUGAAGGGUGAUUGCCUCUUGUAUAAGCUCUGUCCUUGAGCACCCAGACAAGCAAACACAAUCCACUGGGGGACUGGGCCAGGUGAAGGCCUGAUGAGGCAAAGCACCUGUCCUAAUGGGAGUUUAGAAAUGGUAAAAACCUCCCUUGUUAGAUUUUCAGUCUGUACGCAAACCACACAGACCCCGAAAACAAAAAUGGACUAAAGCCCCUACCUUCAGAAGCAAAAAAGCUGUCACUGUGGUGUUGGGAAAUGUUUCUGGGGUAGAGGGGAUAAAUUGAGACCAAACUGGGAACUGUCCAGGAGAAAGACUCUGAAGAAACAGAGAAGGGACAUAAUCCUCCCCAGAAAAUAUAUGUCCUGAAAAAGCUGCUAGAAUUUAAGGCAGAUUUGGGGGGAGAAAAAAGCCCCUACCUCCAAAGGCAGCUAGCAGAGGUACAGAGCUGCAGACCUGAAGCUCUACAUCUGGGGGAGGGGAGGGGGGCGGGGCAAGCAAAAUGAGAUAGAUCAGUGGGAGAAAAUCUCUCUGAAAGAGCUAAGGAAAAGCUGUUGUAAAUGAUCUUGUUUUUCACUGACUGGCUAAAACAGACACAAGCCCCAAGGAAAGUUGCUAUCAGAAAUGCCAGCCUCAAUGCCCGCUAAGGAGGCAGGUGUGGUUCUGAUUCAGGGGCCAGUGUCAAAUGAAGGAGAGACACCUGUUAAAGCCAGCUGAGGAGAGACCAGAAACCUCCCAAUGUCCCAUAGUUGAAAAUGUAAAAUGCCUGUUCAAGUCUCCCAUUGAAAAAGCAAAAAACUUGGUUCAAACCUCCCAGGCAAGAAUUUGUAAGCAAGUCUGAUAAAAAAGAACUUAGAAGUUGACUCUCAGACCCGAAAAGACCUAUGGGAAAUGAAGUCCAAAAGCUAGUUUGCAAUAAGGGACUGAUAUAAGGGAAAUGCAUUCUGGGAAAGGUAGUUUUUCCGAUAAAGAUGGCUACAUUGCCCUGAAACAAUUUUGUCAGCUUGAAAAUACAUUCAUGGUAAACUAAAAAUACAGCUUUUAAAAAAAUGAGGAGGAAAAUCGUCUAAGAGUUUAAGUGUCAGUUCCAAUGAAAAAUUGAAAGGAUACGGAACUAGGUGCCUCGCAGUUUGGGGCUCUGUUGGUAAAAUGCCUUAUUUACCCUAAUAGCUGUGCAAAUUUUUUUAUGGUAGUUGGAUGACAAAAAGCUACCUUUAAGAGCAAACAAGCCACUUUAAAAUCCUUAAGAAAGUAUGAGAAAGCACUUUAUACACUGAAUGUUGUCUUAGAAGGGGAUAAGAAACAGGCAUUCAAAAAAGAAAUGAAUGCUUUAUAGACUGAAAACAAACUUCAGAAAAGCUGUCUUACAAAAGAGUUGCUUCACCUGAAAGUUCCUUAUAAGAAAUCAAUGUUAAAUAUCACUGCUGCUAAUAACAUCAAGAGUUAAAGCUAAUGAAAUGAAAAUAUUAAAUCCUGAAAGUGCUUUUUCUCAGAGUAAGCUAAUGAAGGAUACGUGUCAUGAAAGAACAUCUAUGUUCUUGACUCCUUUGAAUAGUAACAGUUUUGGUGAAAAUAUUGGAACUUAACAAUCAAGUCAAAAUGUUUCAACAAAUUUAAGACGCUAUUUCGCAAAAGAAAGCUGUCAUGCUUUGUGGGCCAUAUUAGAGCUCACUCCAAUCUUCCUGGUCCUUUAGCUGAGGGUAAUUCAAUGGCUGAGCAUUAUCUCAAGUGGAAAUGGCUCAACAGUCGCAUGCUCUUCAUCAAAAUAGCAAAAGUUUAAGAAAGCAAUUCAAUCUUACCAAAGCAGCUCAUCAAAUAGUUAAAUGAUGUGGGGUAUGUCCAAAAUAUUUUCCUGUCCCUCACUUAGGGGUAAACCCUCGAGGUCUUCUUCCCAAUCAUCUAUGGCAAAUGGAUGUUACUCAUAUUGUAGAAUUUGACAAAUUAAAAUAUGUACAUGUGACCAUUGACACUUAUUCAGGAUUUUUAAUGGCUAGUGCACAACCUGGGGAAGCUACAAAACAUGUAAUUAUGCACUGCUUGAAGUGUGUUUCGUAUAUGGGCAUAAAACUGAUAAUGGUUCUGGAUAUAGUAGUAAGGCAUUUCAACAGUUUUGUACCCAAUGGGAAAUCGUACAUAAAACAGGUAUUCCUUAUAAUCCUCAGGGACAAGGUAUUGUGGAAAGGGCUCAUAGCAGUCUUAAAAUACAACUUCAAAAAAUAAAAAUAAAGGAAGAACUUUACCCUCAAUCGCCACAUAAUGCAUUAAAUCAUGCUCUUUUUGUUCUGAACUUUUUGAAUAUGGAUGUCUGUGUGCAGUCUGCCACAGAUAGAUUUUGGCACAGUGGCACCCAAGCGACUUUUGCUCAAGUGAAAUGGAAAGAUCCCUGCUCGGGAUUAUGGAAGGGUCCCGAUCCUGUUUUAAUAUGGGGUCGAGGACAUGUUUGUGUUUUUUCACAAGAGGAGAAUGAAGCUCGGUGGUUACCGUAGCAUUUGGUAAGGAGUGUGGAACUAAGAAAAGUCAGCUCCUAUGACGUUCCUAUAAAGGAACCAGAAUGAAAGUGGCUCAAUUAGUGUUUCUGAGAUUUUGUCAUUGGUUAAUGCAAACAGUGAGGAAAUAGAGUUCGGAGCUGUGCCACUUGUGGCUUUACUAGCUCCUUUAGAAAAAUACUUUAUAUCACCUAAUAGCUGUGCAGUUUUGGUGAAGAGCUUUACAGCAGCUAAAUACGGUAAUUUCAUCCUCAGCAUGAAGUGAAGUUUUUAGGUAGAACGAACCAAAAGUACUGCUGUAAUAGAAAUAUAUUUGUCUGAAUUGAAGCACUUAGGGGAGCUAUUAUGAAUUUGGGUGAAGGGACAGCCUCUAGUUAAAAACCAUUUACCGCUGACAGUGCAUCUCUGCCGGUUCCAGAAUGGCUGAGAGAACUGGCAACUUUGGGGUGUGGCUUCAUCCUAAGAAUGUUACAGUCCCCUAGCAACAAGUAUCACAACUCUAUAACAACAACACUCACUAAAUCCCAGUGUUGUAUAGCAAAGCUGACUAUAAACUCUAAACUUUAGAAAUGAUGUAUGUACUUCCUGUCUAGUUAAGAGAAUCUUUCUAAUAGAGAUAGUGAUGAUAAUUAAGAGUAAGAAGUAGAAAAAGAUGAAAGUAAGAUAUGUGAGUUUGUAGAAAUUCUGUCUUGUUAGAUCUCUGUGUUAAGAAAUCUUUAGGUGUUUGCUAAUUUAAAUAUAUGCUAAUGGUAGCCCUAUAUAAGUUUGUAAAAUAGAUCCAUAGAGUUCCUUUAAGAAUAUAAGCUUGCAAGAAGUAUCUAAAGUAGUCUUAAGACAUAUAGUAAUAAGCUUAUAAGAAGUAAAGAUGCUAGUUGUAAAUGUAAGUUUAAAUAAGAAAUAAGAUGGAAUGAAUAUAAGAAAUAUAUAAGAAGUAAUAAGAAAUAUAUUUGAUAAAGUAGUUCUACAGUUUCCUUAAAGAGUAUAUAAAUAAGUAGAUGUUAAUAUGUUAUAUGUGAGUUUGUAAAAAUGUGUAAAUGUUGAGUGUGAGUUUAUGCUUAAGCACAUGUUAUAUGUGAGUUUGUAAAAGUGUAAAUAUUGAGUGUGAAUCUAUGCUUAAUGUAUAUGGUAAAAGAAUCUGAGACACAGAAGAUAGUGUCCUAGUAGACUGCAAAGUAGGCAGUCUGAAUGGUUUCAAAAGCUCCAGAAGCUGCUAAGAAGCUAAGAAUGGUGGACACCAGAACCAGCACAACAAGGCAUCUGCUGCUGAGAUCCAUGGAAAAUCAACACAACACAGAAAAACCUGAGCUAACAUCAAAAACGGUGCGGUUUAGAAUACUACUGUACCUAAAAAGGUCUCUGUCUGUGAGAACAAAAGUUACAGAGACGCUUGUAUGAACUAAAAUUGUUAAUGCAAAAAGUUUUGGUUGUAAAAUGUCUCUUCAUAUUUGGAAGUGAAAGCCUGAUACCAGAAUUUAUUUCUUGUUUGAACUUUUUGAACUUAAAAUGAGAUAAAACUAUAAAAAGAUUUGUUAUGGAUUUCUUCAUAUUUGGAAGGCUAGUACCAGAAUUUAUAAUUUGAAUUUGGGGAUGGGUUUAUAGAAAUUGUGUAAGUUUGGGUUCCUCUAACUAGGUUUGAGAUUUUUGUUUAAAAGAUUAUAAAGAAAAGUAGUUAUGAGUAAAUUAAGGUUGAAUGUAUGUUUGCAGAAAUUAUGUUUAACCUAUUGAUAUUAAUGCACCCUGGUUUUGUGGAGUUAAGGAAAUAUUUAGGUUUGAUGUGAAUACAUCAGAAGUUUUUCCUAUGUUGUAGCUAGAGUUUUCCUGCCUGGCCCACAGUCAGGACAAAUCUCUGUCACCCGCCAGUCCCACAGCCGCUCAGACCCAACCAAGUAAACACAGAGACUUAUAUUGCUUACUAACUGUGUGGCCAUAGCAGGCUUCUUGCUAACUGUUCUUAUAUCUUAAAUUAAUCCAUUUCUAUAAAUCUAUACCAUGCCACAUAGCUCGUGGCUUACCGGCAUCUUCACAUGCUGCUUGUCAUGGUGGCAGCUGGCAGUGUCUCCCUCCUCCCUUUUCACUUCCCAGAAUUCUCUCAAUUCUCCUCUCUGUUAGUCCCGCCUAUACUUCCUGCCUGGCCACUGGCCAAUCAGUGUUUUAUUUAUUGACCAAUCAGAGCAAUUUGACAUACAGACCAUCCCACAGCACUAUGUUCUGUUAGCAAGAAAAUUCAAAUGAUUAAGAGUUAAAGUUGUAAGACUGAGAAAAUUGUUAACUAUAUAUAGCACCAUAUAUGUUAAUUCAAAUGGUUCUGUAAAGAGUUUGCUUUGAAUUGUAAGACUGGGAGAAUUGUGACCAUGUAUAGCAAUAUUUAUGUUAACCUGUUAAUGGUAAUGAUGAAGCUAAGGGAUUCUUUAAGUUUGCAAUUACAUUAAGUUUUUGGUUUAGAAAUGACUGAUGCAGCUAAAGACUGCUGUAGUCACCUUGGACCUAAUUCAAAAGAGAAAUGCCAUCUUUAUCAUCCUCUACUCCCAUACUGGGAGGUGUAACAGCUAUGGAGAUUGCUGUAAGCCAUUAAUAAUUAGUUAUUUUUUAUAUAUUAAGACAGGGGGACCUGUGGGAGCCCGUUUCCAGGUUCCUCGUGGCUUUACCCAGCAGGUCCGCAUAGAGGAUGAUUUGGACCACGGGCCUGAGUGCAGGGGUCUGAGAUGGUCUGCACUUGGCUGUGCUGGGGGAGGAGGUCUUUUGCUCCACCCCUUGGCAUCUCCAUAAAUACCCUGGGGCAGAGACAGUCGGGGCCCAUUGGAAAAGGUUCCAGGCCAUCUCGAGACUAUCCUUUAUUUUCUAACUGUUUAUCUCUGCAAGAUUCUCCACAAUAAAUCCUUCUAUCUAGUA